GGAGCCAGUUCUUUCGCAACGGAAAAUGAAUUAGUAAUUUCUGCCAAAUUUUGCCUUGUAACGUAAUGAAAUCAUAAACACCUUUGCAAACUAAGCAGAUGCUCAUAGAGAAUUUUUACGCGUUAAACAAGAACCAGCUUUUUGCAGAAUUUAAUAAAUAUGUGUCACGUUUUCGUGUUAUUUGAAAGGCCUUUUUCGUCAACAAUCUUGUCAAUAAAUAUUCGCAAAAAAAGUGAAAAAGGUUCCUAUAACCUUAGUUAUAGGAAAUUCGAACUAAAUACGUAUCUGCCUGUGCGACUGGGAUGACAUUGGACCAAUGCUCUAAAAAUGAGCUUGAAUCUUCUAUAAAAACAUUGAUUAAUAAGAUUCCUUCUAGAAUCCCCCAGAUGUAACUCAGACUAGCUUUUAUGUAACUCAGACUGGCAGAUGUAACUCAGACUAGCUUUUAUGUAACUCAGACUGGUAACAAAAACUGGCAGAUGUAUGUUUUAUGUAACUCAGACUGGUAUAUGAAAGGAUCAAGCGAUAAUCAUUGGCACGGAAUAUCAAGACACUGUUAACCAGUUAUGCAAUAUUCAAUGGAUGUAACUGAAUAUGUGCGAAAAAUAAUGUAGCAAAAUAUAUAUAAAUUCAUGGUGUGAUGAAAAAUGGUAAUAUUACAAUGCUACAUAAUAUGGUUGGACAUAAAACAAAAGGAAAAAACACAAGAGAAGGAAGACAUGGAAAGAAGAAAUCCCUGUGUUUUUUUACAAUCUUAACAGCUCAUGCCAUUUUAGAAAAAAAAAUUAGAAACACCUUUUAUGUCUACACUAUAAUAAUGCAAAGUAAUAUUUGCAAUGCAGCGUAUUUUCUUUUCCUGUUGAGAUAUAAAUGUUAAAUAAUUAAUUAACAAAGGUGCAUCUGAACAUAAAUAUGACUAUGUGCUAAUUCCGACAAAUAAGCAUUUUGGCAACUUCACUGGAACAUUUUUCAUUAUGUUUGAUGAUCCGAGAAGAUCCAAAACAAGGUGAAAUCAGUGGAGAGGCAUUUUCAUGUGAAGGCACUGGAAACAACUGCAUAGAUGAGCUCAUUGCUCUGGAUUUGAAAUGCAAUAUCUCUGCAAUUGCACACUGUGAUAUACAGGAUUAAACCGAUAUUAUCAUUUGGAGCAUAGGACUAUGUUAAUAUAGAAAAACCAUCUCUACAAGUAAAUUUUCCAGGUGCUUGGAGCUGUUGCACCAUCGAAAAAAGGAAUAAUUAACGUAUCAUAAAAAACAAUUCCGCUUCUAAUAUGCAAAAACAUAAAAACUCUGCCACCAAUGCACCGAAUUUCAGCCACUCUACGGCAAGACAGAGUUGUAGUGGUGUAGAAGACAUUAAGCCCUUAGAAAGGAAAUCCUCAUACGUGGCCAUUCCUGUGGAUUCUGAAAAUGACGAUGUUGAAGAAUUUGAUCAUUUAGAUGAACUUAUAAUUUAUUUAGUGAGCUUUCUCAGGCGUCUUCGAAAGACAUAUAUACUUUUAAAAGGAAGUGAAGACAAAAAUUAAAGUGUCCAUUCUUGCGAUUUUUCUGUCAGAGAAACUAAGAAAAAGAUUUUAAAAAAUUCUCAACUGUAAGGCAAUGAAUAUAAUUAUCAAAUGCAUUCAUGUAUUAAAAAAUCUUCACAAGUAUACCCUGAACUAUUUGCUUACAAGCACGGAAUUUUGCUUCUAUAAUCUCCUGUAAUAUUGCCGUGUAUCAACGCGCAAUAAAAAUUUUUUUUUUUUACUAUUUAUUUCACAAUAAAAGGGACAGGAAUUUUAUAGGGUUUUUUUUUUCAUUGUAUAUCAGAAUAAAUGUAAUAUUUUGUAAUAAAUAAAUAAAUAUAAA